rnacentral:rRNA from 1 species
CAAUAGCGUAUAUUUAAGUUGUUGCAGUUAGAACGCUCGUAGUCGGAUUUCGGGGCGGGCCGACCGGUCUGCCGAUGGGUAUGCACUGGUCGGCGCGUCCUUCCUUCCGGAGACCGUCCCUACUCUUAACUGAGCGGGGGCGGGGGACGGGACUUUUACUUUGAAAAAAUCAGAGUGUUUCAAGCAGGCAGCUCGCUCUUGCAUGGAUUAGCAUGGGAUAAUGAAAUAGGACUUUGGUGCUAUUUUGUUGGUUUCGAACACCGAAGUAAUGAUGAGAAGGGACAGUCAGGGGCACUCGUAUUCCGCCGAGAGAGGUGAAAUUCUCAGACCAGCGGAAGACGAACCACUGCGAAAGCAUUUGCCAGGGAUGUUUUCACUGA